rnacentral:rRNA from 1 species
AUUGAACGCUGGCGGCAUGCUUUACACAUGCAAGUCGAACGGUAACAGGUUAAGCUGACGAGUGGCGAACGCGUGAGUAAUACAUCGGAACGUGCCCGAUCGUGGGGGAUAACGGAGCGAAAGCUUUGCUAAUACCGCAUACGAUCCACGGAUGAAAGCAGGGGACCGCAAGGCCUUGCGCGGACGGAGCGGCCGAUGGCAGAUUAGGUAGUUGGUGGGAUAAAAGCUUACCGAGCCGACGAUCUGUAGCUGGUCUGAGAGGACGACCAGCCACACUGGGACUGAGACACGGCCCAGACUCCUACGGGAGGCAGCAGUGGGGAAUUUUGGACAAUGGGCGCAAGCCUGAUCCAGCCAUGCCGCGUGCAGGAUGAAGGCCUUCGGGUUGUAAACUGCUUUUGUACGGAACGAAAAGACUCUUUCUAAUAAAGAGGGUCAUGACGGUACCGUAAGAAUAAGCACCGGCUAACUACGUGCCAGCCGCCGCCGUAA